CCUACGGGAGGCAGCAGUGAGGAAUAUUGGUCAAUGGACGAGAGUCUGAACCAGCCAAGUAGCGUGAAGGAUGACUGCCCUAUGGGUUGUAAACUUCUUUUAUAUGGGAAUAAAACGUUCCACGUGUGGGAUUUUGUAUGUACCAUAUGAAUAAGGAUCGGCUAACUCCGUGCCAGCAGCCGCGGUAAUACGGAGGAUCCGAGCGUUAUCCGGUUUUAUUGGGUUUAAAGGGAGCGUAGGUGGAUUGUUAAGUCAGUUGUGAAAGUUUGCGGCUCAACCGUAAAAUUGCAGUUGAAACUGGCAGUCUUGAGUACAGUAGAGGUGGGCGGAAUUCGAGGUGUAGCGGUGAAAUGCUUAGAUAUCACGAAGAACUCCGAUUGCGAAGGCAGUUCACUGGACUGCAACUGACACUGAGGCUCGAAAGUGUGGGUAUCAAACAGGAUUAGAUACCCCGGUAGUC
rnacentral:rRNA from 1 species